rfam:Cavia porcellus supercont2_26 genomic scaffold, whole genome shotgun sequence.
GGAUAUUUAGCUCAGUGGCUUAAGCACCUGCCUGGCAAGCAUGAGGUUGUGAGUUCAAUCCCCAAAGAAUUUU